rnacentral:rRNA from 1 species
AUUGAACGCUGGCGGCAUGCCUUACACAUGCAAGUCGAACGGUAACAGGUUAAGCUGACGAGUGGCGAACGGGUGAGUAAUGUGUCGGAACGUGCCCCGUCGUCGGGGAUCACGCAGCCAAAGCUGCUCCAAUACCGCAUAUGAUCUAUGGCUCAAAGCGGGGACCUCGCAAGGUCCUCGCCCGAUUGGAGCGGCUGAUAUCAGAUUAGGUAGUUGGUGGGGUACAGGCCUACCAAGCCUGCGAUCUGUACCGGGUAUGAGAGGAAGACCAGACACACUGGAACUGAGACACGGUCCAGACUCCUACGGGAGGCAGCAGUGGGGAAUUUUGGACAAUGGGCGCAAGCCUGAUCCAGCAAUGCCGCGUGCAGGAUGAAGGCCUUCGGGUUGUAAACUGCUUUUGUACGGAACGAAAAGGCUCUGGUGAAUACCUGGAGUUGAUGACGGUACCGUAAGAAUAAGCACCGGCUAACUACGUGCCAGCCGCCGCGGUAAGAC